UACGUAGGUGGCAAGCGUUAUCCGGAAUUAUUGGGCGUAAAGAGGGAGCAGGCGGCAGCAAAGGUCUGUGGUGAAAGACUGAAGCUUAACUUCAGUAAGCCAUAGAAACCGGGCAGCUAGAGUGCAGGAGAGGAUCGUGGAAUUCCAUGUGUAGCGGUGAAAUGCGUAGAUAUCACGCAGAACUCCGAUUGCGAAGGCAGCAUACCGGCGCCCUACUGACGCUGAGGCACGAAAGCGUGGGUAUCGAACAGG
rnacentral:rRNA from 1 species